AGCAGUAGCCACGGUAAUACGGAGGGAGCUAGCGUUGUUCGGAAUUACUGGGCGUAAAGCGCGCGUAGGCGGUUACUCAAGUCAGAGGUGAAAGCCCGGGGCUCAACCCCGGAACUGCCUUUGAAACUAGGUGACUAGAAUCUUGGAGAGGUCAGUGGAAUUCCGAGUGUAGAGGUGAAAUUCGUAGAUAUUCGGAAGAACACCAGUGGCGAAGGCGACUGACUGGACAAGUAUUGACGCUGAGGUGCGAAAGCGUGGGGAGCAAACAGGAUUAGAUACCCCGGUAGUCCCUGUCUCUUAUAC
rnacentral:rRNA from 1 species